AAGAAGGCUCCGCAGGUCGGCAGAGAACACCACCACUAAUGGGAAGACUGCCCCCUGACCGGCACAUGGCCUCAGCAUUCAUCCACAGAUGCUCCUCAAAUUGUUUUAAAAACAGCUUUUUUUAAAAGCUGUUUGUCUAUGAAGAUUAAAUGAGUUAAUAAUAUAAGCAAAGCACUUUGCAUGGCUACUGGGCACGGUGGUUCAUGCCUGUAAUUCCAGCACUUUGGGAGGCCGAAGCAGGUGGAUCACCUGAGGUCAGGAGUUCAAGACCAGCCUGAUCAACAUGGCGAAACCCUGUCUCUAUUAAAAAUACAAAAAAAAUAGCCGGGCAUGGUGGCACGUGCCUGUAAUCCCAGCUACUUGGGAGGCUAAGGCAGGAGAAUCGCUUGAACCUGGGAGGCAGAGGUUGCAGUGAGCCGAGACCUCGCCGUUGCACUCCAGCCUGGUUGACAGAGCAAGACUCUGUCUCAAAAAACAAAAAAACCCCAGCUUUUGUCCAGAGGUUGCUUUUUGUGGGUCUGUACGCUGAGGCCAAGUUCUAUGUAAGCAGAGCCCUCCCACCUCACCUCCAAACAAUGCCUCUAAACCAUCACAAUCUGAAAGGAAAAUAAAUCCCUUUCUUCAAUGGUGACCUGAAGCUAGCCAAGGACCGGGUGCUGGCAGGUGGCCUGCGAGACUGGGUCGGAUCCCGGGUUACUGUCUGAGGAGGGAUGCCGUGCUGUAAGGGUUGGGGAGCCAGUGUCUGGCUUCCUUGUCACCACAAGACCUGUGGUUUCCAGCUCUGUCUGCAUCCAGGUCCCACUAACCAACAGCAGGAGAGAAAACAGUUGUGCACACAGGCGGACGCGCACACGCGCACCUGGCCCCCCAGACGUGCACAGCCCUCAGAGGAAGUGGAGCACCAGAUGUUCUGGGUUUCCUGUUCGACGCUUCCACAGCUGGUCGAGUCUGUGGUUGUGGUUUGUCUGUCUCGGGCUCAUGUGAGAGACAAAAGCUGGGCUGACGGGAAACCUCUUCUCUCGGCCCCCACUCCCCAGCUCUGACUGAUUAGGAAACCUGGCAGGUCAGAAAUUUCCUGAAACACCCAGAGCUGGAUUCUCCCAAGAAGAAGC
rnacentral:lncRNA from 1 species